rnacentral:lncRNA from 1 species
GAAGGCCUUUCCGAGUGGGCACCAUUUGGGCAGAGGCCUAAGGAAGCCAGCAAUGCAGACAUUCAGGUAAAAGUAACAGCAAGAACUUGACAAAAGCACUGUUAUGGUUUGGGUUUUUAAUGUCUCCCCCAAAGUUCACAUGUUAGGCAAUGCAGGGAACAUUCAGAGGUAAAAUUAUUAUGAGAACAGUAACCUAGUCUGUGAAAAAUUCCAUUUGAUUAAUAAUUCAGAUUAAUAAUUUAAUAGACUACUGAGUGAUAGCAAUAGGCAGGUGCUGUGUGCCUGGAGGAAGUAGGUCACUGAGGGCAUGACUUGGAUUAUAUUUGUCCAAGUUCCUUUCCCUUUGCUUUCCCAGUGCCAUGAGGUAAGCACUUCCUCCACCACGCCCUUCUGCCGUGAUGUCUCCCUUACCUCAGAGGGCCCCAUAGCCAUGGAGUCAGCCAACCACAGGCUGAGACCUCUGAAACUGUAAGCCUCAAAUAAACUUUUCCUUCUCUGAGAUAUAAGGUAUUUUGGUCACAGUAAUGAAAAGCUAACAUAAGCACAAGUUUUAUUUUGUAAUUAUAGGUUUCUGGGCCCUAUCUACCAAUAUUAGAAGGAAAGGUAUGAUAUUGUUUCAGAGUAGCAAUUAUAUGUUUAUAAAUAAAUAAGUGAUAACAAUAUCAUCAUUAUCAACGGCUAGCAUCUAUUGCUCUCAAUACACUCCAGAAAAAUAUUUUAAGUGCUUUGCCUAUGUUAGCAGAUUUAAUUCUCACAACAGCCUUAUGAGGUAGAUUAGGAAAUUGAGGGUCAAGAUGGGUAAGUAAAUCGUGCAGGGUUAUACAGCUGAUAUAUUUAGCUGGCUGAUCUGGAAUUUGAACUCAGGUACUCUGGAAGCUACCUGCCUCCACAGUUAACCACCUCCAUAGUUAGCCACUUGUUAAGAUUGAAUCACCUUCUGACCCCAGCACACCAAAUUCAUAUUCUAAAGUCCCCAGGACCUCAGAAUGUAAUUGUAUUGGAAAUAUGAUUUUCAAAAAGAAGUAAUUAAGUUAAAAUAAGGUCCUUAGAGUGAGCUCUUAUCAGAUAUGACUAGUAUCCUUAUAAGAAGAGGAAAUUUGGAGGAAAAUACACCCAGUGGGAAGACACAGGAAGAUCACAUCCAUUAUCUAUCAGUCACAGAGAGAAGCCUCAGAAGAAACCAAUGUUGGCAGUACCUUAAUCUCAAACUUCUGACCCCCCCAAACUGUGAGAAAAUAAGUUUAUUUAAUAAGCC